rnacentral:rRNA from 1 species
UAGGGAAUCUUCGGCAAUGGGGGGAACCCUGACCGAGCAACGCCGCGUGAGUGAAGAAGGUUUUCGGAUCGUAAAGCUCUGUUGUUAAGGAAGAACGAGUGUGAGAAUGGAAAGUUCAUACUGUGACGGUACUUAACCAGAAAGGGACGGCUAACUACGUGCCAGCAGCCGCGGUAAUACGUAGGUCCCGAGCGUUGUCCGGAUUUAUUGGGCGUAAAGCGAGCGCAGGCGGUUAGAUAAGUCUGAAGUUAAAGGCAGUGGCUCAACCAUUGUAGGCUUUGAAAACUGUUUAACUUGAGUGCAGAAGGGGAGAGUGGAAUUCCAUGUGUAGCGGUGAAAUGCGUAGAUAUAUGGAGGAACACCGGUGGAGAAAGCGGCUCUCUGGUCUGUAACUGACGCUGAGGCUCGAAAGCGUGGGGAGCGUACAGG